rnacentral:lncRNA from 1 species
GGCAGUUCGACAGCAGGGUCGAAGAAAGGUGCUUUUAACCAUGGGGUAGAUGAACCGUGUUAUGUUUGAAGGCGGGGGGGGGAUUCCACGGGAAGGGGGAGAAGGGUGUAAGAGACCGAGAGAAAGAAAGAGGAAGCAAGCAAGGAUGAGGGAGAGGAUGGGGCCAACCGCCCAGGAAGAAAGGUCAGCAUGGGCAAGGGAGAACUGCUCAGAGAGAUGUGAGGGAGGGAAUGGGUGAAAGUGAAGGAAUGUUCGAGGUGUUCGAGAUGCAUUGGCUGGCCCUGAUCUUUUCAGUGGAGCAGGUCAGCUCCUGGGAGUGGGGUCAGGACAGUGGAAACCAUGUGAACAACUACUAUAAAGGGACAAGAGGGGAAAAAAGGGAUGUGUACUUAAAGCAGCCAGCUUGGUCCACUGGUCAACAACCCUCUUAAUGCAAGUCCCCACUGAGAAAGGGGAACACUAACCACUAAAAUUAGGGUUGGACUUUAUUAGCUGUCAUUUAUGCACAUUAACCUUUCAAGUUUGUGCCAAUGAGCUGGCUCUAUACAUUGUAUCAGCCAGGUUUCAGUCAGAAAAGCCAGCCACUAUGUGUGAUUUAUAAUGAGACUUAAAAUGUGGAUUAGAGCUGAAGCAGUUGUGGGACCUGGUGAAGAAGUCUGUGCAAGGCUGUUGCCUCCACGGCUGGUGUCGGGACUGAAGUCACAUAGAUCAGCAAACUGGAUGUGCAAUGAGGGAGAGCAAAGACAAACUGGAACUCAUGAGGACAACUGGUACCUGUAUGUCUCGCCGUCUCCAGCCUUCAGGAUGUGAGUGACCUGCAGAAGCAGCUGGGGCCCUUUGUCAGAGUUGCCCAUAUACCUGUUCCAGGUUCUGGAGGAGCUGUAGCCCCACGCCAAGAGGGAAGGGAAUUCUGGGAAACUUAGUUCAAUGCAGCUGAGUAGACAACCUACAAAGUCACCACACCCGGUCUCUAUGUUCAAAAGUGUUUUGAUGCAGUCCACAGACUUAUGCAGGAAUCUGGGACACGAAGCAGACAGCAAGCAACGUUUGAGAUUUAUAAGAGCAGAAACGCUAGCCCAAAGGUUACUAUUUGGACCGAAGUCGCAUUUUGUGUUCCCACUGGCAAAGUGACAUUCAAAACUUCGGUUUUUGGUCCUCCAUGAGAGUGAGACCUGAGACGCCCUCUCUCCGCUGGCGGUGGCAGAGGGGCAAGGCCACUCCUGGCGCAACUGUUGUAUAACUGUCAUUGCAGCCAGAAGUUUGGGGUAAGAGUUGGCCCAGGGUUUUUAGAAGCGUAGCCUUUAGUGAGAUUUUUCUUGUCUCGACAACCCUCGGAACCUAGCGGUGCUGAGGGAUCAGAGUGCCCCCACGGCCUGCACCCCAAACAGCGCCUGGCGGGAGUGGUUAAUUCGGGUGGGAGCAGCUCAGCUGUGAACUCGAAGACUCGACAAUGUCCCAGAUCCUCAUAAAGCCGCUCACAUAUUUGCCAUCUAACGAAGCAUGGCUGAAAUAACACAAUCCCCUGGCUGUAGGUUUGAGGAAUGCAGCGUCAGCCAGCCCCCCGCCCUGUGGCUUCCGUUCCUCUCCUCGGAGGUGGCCAGCUGAGGAAUCAGCCUCUUGGUUCUGAGCGAGGGGGGACAACGUCUGUUCUGACAUGUGCCCUGCCUGCUUCGUCUUUCAGCUGGCUUCAAACACGAAAGGAAUCAAUGCCAAGCUAGAGACUAGACAGCUAUGUCUUCUGUAUUUAAGCUCCAGUGGCCACAGCCGAUGCCCGGGAAAGGGUUACAUUUUAGUCAGACUCAGAUGUCAUUGAGUUUUGCUACACAUGUGCAAUCAAGGAAGCUGGAAAGCCGGACUGCUUAAUAGGACCUGAGUUAGAAGGAUUUUGGAAACUGUUCUUGGAACUGUGAAAAGCUGGCUUCCCAAAGCUUCGCUCAAUCCCUUCUUUUUCUUUCCUCCUCCUCGGUUUCCUCUUCCUUCGUCCGCCUUUUCCUUUUUCUGUCCAUCUUUCUCAUUCCACAAACACCUAACCAAGUAUUUACUGGGAUCAGGCCUGUGAUGGGAUCUGGGAGUACCUGGGAGUCAGAGCCUCUGCCCUCAGGGGACAAAUCAAUAAGUACAACACUGUCCGGCGGGGCAGACACAGGGCGUGGGGAGAUGUCAGGUGAGCUGAGUCUUGAAAGCAGGAGUUACCUGGUGGUCUCCUUUGUUUUCAAUUCUCAUUUCUCUGCCCAAACAUCCUUUUUUUGUACCCUUUGCCCACUACUGGACUGAAGAAAGGAGGAGCCCGGCAGCCGGUAGUAAACCUUGAAGUCACGCUUCCUAACGGCCAUCCCUGGACCCCACCUCCGGGUAAAGAAACAUUUUCAAACACCAAACUCUUCUAAGUUCCCGACUCUCCAGAAAUUCCCAAAGGAAUGUAUCAAACACCCAAUCACCUGCCCACUUUUAGUUAGAGCCGGUUAAGUCCUCUCAGCUGUGUUGGCCUGUUAAGGUUUCUGCAAUUCUCUUAGAACACAAACACACUUCACUUUCAAGUCUCUUUCCUGUUAUUCACGGUUUUCCUGGCUGUGAUGCUAGAUUUUGCUGUUGCCCUUACUUUCACUCAUGCCCCAUCCACACCAAAGCUUGUAAGGUGGACAGAAACUGUUUCAAACAUGAUUUGGCUCCCAGCCUGAGAGCUGAAUUUAUCACUCACCUGUCCCCUGAUAUCACACCUGUCUUCCCAAGAGGAACGUCUGGUACCUGGCCCAACC